AUGAUUCGAUGUCCUCCCAGUUAUAAUAUUGCUUAACUAAAUGACUCUUGUUCCCUUGGCUAGCAAUUGAUUUGAUGCUUUGCUGCAUAUAUAUUUUUUCCAACGCAGACCUACCUCUGUCGCCAGUAGUUUCAGUAGGUGUUCCUUCAUUAAAUUGUACUCCUGCAGCAGCCUGACUGAUGAUUGCUCUUAACAUAAUGGAAUUCGACAACCAGAAAGUUAGCCUGUUUGUGAGAAAAAUAAAAUUAGAGAAAUCCUCUAAAGUUUCCAAUUUUAUCCUUAAACAUUAUUGUUCCAACAUAUUGAUAACCUGUUUUUUUUCUGUCUGCUAGUAGUUUCAGUAGGUGCCCCUUCAUUAAACGGCACUCCUGCAGCUGCCUGACUGAUGAUUGCUCUUAACAUAAUGGAAUUCGACAACCAGAAAGUUAACCU
rnacentral:lncRNA from 1 species